rnacentral:lncRNA from 12 species
GUUUUCUUCAAAUCUGCUACAUAUUAUUUUUAAUGGUAUCAUGUUCUCUUGUAAUCUUUUCAUAAUAUUUUAAAUACUUUAUGCAUUUUAAAGAAACCUAUGGAAUAUUUUAAAUCUGAGAAUUCUAUGAUCUGAUAUUCUUAGAGGUCUAUUUCAGCUGUUUUUCAGUUCUGUGGAUUCUCACUCAAAAUGGCUUGUUUCUUCAUAAGUUAUAUAAUUUUAAAGGCAAGUUCACAUUGGGUGAGACAUUAUCCAUGAGACUCCUCUGAGGCUUGUUCUAAGAUGUGUUUUAAAAAGAAAACAUGUGUCUCUUUUUUCUUUCAGGUGUAAUUGAUUUCUAUCAACAUGGAACUUCUUUAUAUUAUGAAGUUAUCUCAAUCAUUCAGACCUAUGCAAGGGGAAACUAUAUUUUUCACCCUAUGCAGAUCCUAGUUCCUGUUCGCCAAUUUUGGGAAAACUAUUCUAAAGCAUCUUCAGACUCUUCUACAGGAGCUGUGCCUUCCAUGGAAGAAUUUCUUCUCUAAAUGGCCCAGUCUCUACUCUUGUAGAGGAUUGUGUUGACCUGAAGGAGAGAUGCUAAACGGUAAAUUAUAUUUCACAGAUUAAAUCGAUAUUUUGUGUAUCCCAGUGUAUGUGUCGUAUACAUACAUGUGGAAGGCAACGGUGGGAGGCUGUAUCCAACAAACAACACAACACAGAGAAGUCAUCAGAGGAGGCUGAGGUGAUCCUUAUAUGAGUGGACAUUAUCAAAUGUUCUUGAGUAACUUCCAGAAGUGCUACAAGAAUGGAAACAACUCUGGUGGAAACCUUAUGAAACGCACAAAAUUCUGUUUAUUGGAACUGGUCUGCUACAGGGAAAAUGUAAACAUAUGAAAAUAUUUUGAUGAGCUGCUUGGCGCUGACG